CGGAGGGUGCAAGCGUUAUCCGGAUUCACUGGGUUUAAAGGGUGCGUAGGUGGGCAAGUAAGUCAGUGGUGAAAUCUCCGGGCUUAACCCGGAAACUGCCAUUGAUACUAUUUGUCUUGAAUAUCCUGGAGGUGAGCGGAAUAUGUCAUGUAGCGGUGAAAUGCUUAGAUAUGACAUAGAACACCCAUUGCGAAGGCAGCUCACCACGGGAACAUUGACACUGAGGCACGAAAGCGUGGGGAUCAAACAGGAUUAGAUACCCUGGUAGUCCACGCCCUAAACGAUGGAUACUCGACAUCAGCGAUAAACUGUUGGUGUCUGAGCAAAAGCAUUAAGUAUCCCACCUGGGAAGUACGAUCGCAAGAUUG
rnacentral:rRNA from 1 species